AUAAGAUCCUUGUAAAAUAGGUCACCAAAGGCACGGCUUUCCCAAUUAUCAAAAAGUAAUUUCCAGUGACUAUGGAAACGAAUAAGAAAAUCAAUAAACAAAGACAGAAGGGAAAAAAGGUGGACGUAUAAAAUACCAAAUAGCUCAGACGUAUCCUGCUACGACAUAGUGUCAUAUUAAACCGCAAUAUUUUAUUCAUGCUGAAAGCGGACGUUUGGAAUGACCUCCAUAUAUUCAUUCUCCAAAGCAGUCUAUUCGCCUAACGUUUUUUUUUUUUUCUAUCUCUCUUUCUAUUUUCUAUCUCGUUCUCUUUGGUUACAGCGAAGGUCGUAACUAUAAAGCCCAGAGACGAUUCCGCCGUCACGUAGAUGAUGCGAGAAUCACAGCCGGAGGCGGCACCCUGAAGUUUCCACCGGAAGUUAGGCGACAACCCGCCUACAGCCCGAGCAAGCUAGAAACACCUAGCUCAACAUGAACUCGUGAAGCUCGAUCAUGGACAUGGCACGUAUGACGACGAUAGUACAAGCACGACGUCACUACGAAUGGAAUGACAACGGUGGCAUGAUGGCGAUGACAUUACAACAAACAGCAUGAUUACACUGGAAUCACUAGGAGAAAAUGAAAACGAUGGAACGACCAUAACGGCAUGACGACUGCCUGACGGUUAUGACAACAAUGGCAUAAAGACGAAGAUGUUGCGAUGACGGCAUGACGACCAUGAGUGGCGACGCCCGGUGUAACGACGAUGCCGUGAAGACGACGCCGUGACGACCAGACUUAAGUCUGGUGACGACAAUAACGUGAUGCCGAUGCCGGAAUGAUUGCUUUGGUAUGACGUCGACGGCGUGAUGAUGGAAUGAAGCAGCUGUAAUGACAACAAUGGGAUGACGCAUUCGCAAGAACAAUGACGCAGUUACGACGAAAGUCAUGACUACAAAGGCACGACUGAUGAAAAUGGGAAAACGCGUCACACUACGAUGAGAGACGCGCAGCGAAUUCCGGGAACAAAUACCUUCCGUACCUUCUUUAUUCGUCGUCAACUAGAAGAUACGCGCGCUCAGACUUUUUAUAAGGAAACUUUAAGCGCUAGCUUGCACGAGUUUAUUCUGCCUUUUCAGGUAUGUGAUCGUGGUCUAAUGAGUAGAGCAUUAAGUUUCUGUGCUGGGGACCAGGGUUAGAAAUUGACCAUCGGA